CCUACGGGGGGCAGCAGUCGAGAAUCAUUCACAAUGGGGGAAACCCUGAUGGUGCGACGCCGCGUGGGGGAAUGAAGGUCUUCGGAUUGUAAACCCCUGUCAUGUGGGAGCAAAUUAAAAAGAUAGUACCACAAGAGGAAGAGACGGCAAACUCUGUGCCAGCAGCCGCGGUAAUACAGAGGUCUCACGCGUUGUUAGGAAUCACUGGGCGUAAAGCGUGCGUAGGCUGUUUCGUAAGUCGUGUGUGAAAGGCGCGGGCUCAACCCGCGGACGGCACAUGAGACUGCGAGGCUAGAGUGAGGGAGAGGGAACCGGAAGUCUCGGUGUAGCAGUGAAAUGCGUAGAUAUCGAGAGGAACACUCGUGGCGAAGGCGGGUUCCUGGACAUUAACUGACGCUGAGGCACGAAGGCCAGGGGAGCGAAAGGGAUUAGAUACCCGUGUAGUC
rnacentral:rRNA from 1 species